UACGGAGGGUGCGAGCGUUAAUCGGAAUUACUGGGCGUAAAGCGCACGCAGGCGGUUUGUUAAGCUAGAUGUGAAAGCCCCGGGCUCAACCUGGGAUGGUCAUUUAGAACUGGCAGACUAGAGUCUUGGAGAGGGGAGUGGAAUUCCAGGUGUAGCGGUGAAAUGCGUAGAUAUCUGGAGGAACAUCAGUGGCGAAGGCGACUCCCUGGCCAAAAACUGACGCUCAUGUGCGAAAGUGUGGGUAGCGAACAGG
rnacentral:rRNA from 1 species